AGCCCACCCCAUACAUCAAUAGAUGCGAGCGGUUUCGUCUGAACGCCGACUAGCGAGCGGUGAUUGGCGGCGUGCUGGACGGCGACGUGCUCGGCGGAGAAUUCUCAUCGGAUGAUUCCCUCGCUCCCCUGUCCAUCUCUCCCCCGUCCUCUCGUGCGACUCGGAGACCGACAACGGCAGCGGUGAUGGAGCGUACAACGAUUUUGCGGCGGCGACCAAUCCCAAAUCCAUCCCACUGCUCAGUCGGAUAAGGCGCUUGCGACAACCAACAUUCACCGAACCAGAUUUUCCAUUUCCUCGACAGGCGGCUCCGGCACAGGAAUGAAAGUGCGCCCUAUGUUCAGAUUCCAGAAGCUAUGCCACGGCCGCCUACAAUUCCACCCAGGAUAGCUAAUUUGCAUGCAUGUUUGAUUUCUGAUCUCUUCCCAAUCUGUCCUGUUCAUUCAGUUUUAUACGGUCAUAGUUUAGCUAGGCUCCAUAUAUCCGUAGUUGCAAAACAAUUCUUGAGAUUUCCUUGGUAAAAUUUCUGGAAUAUUACAUAAUAUUGCCUGUGCCAUCAUAACCAUUUGUUUAUCCCCUAGUAUAAAAAUACCAAAGUGAGGUCUCUAUACAUACAUACGAGAAGCACCUCUUUAAUUGUAAUUUGCUGGUAGAAACAUCGACCCGUUAUUACUGGACAUGAAGUAGCUUUUACAAAUGCUAUAGGUAAUUGCGUGGAAAUUGAUCUGAGAAAUUGUUGUCGAGAUAGGUAAUUACAUACUUGAGAACAGUUGCUCUUUAAGAUUUCUUGAGCUUUAUUCCGGGUGCUCAAGUGAAGCAAUUGCUUCUCAUUGAAGGGUCUGUUUCUUUCUUGGACGGGUCAGGUUGUUCCUAUUUUCUCUUUUAUUCAGAUUGGAUUUGUAAAUCAGAAAGUGUGAUGCUCAACGAGAUUCAGGUCGCGCUAAGACAUCAACGAUCAGUGCCGACAAGCCUCCACUAUCUAUUGCAAAAAUGAAGAACCGUGUUGAUUGCUUAUCUUGAAUAUGAUUUUGGGCAAAUAGGACCUGACUAGCUUCUAAAUCUGCUGAACUGUACUGAUCAUAGUGUGAAACUAAUUUUGCUUUUGCUCUUCUAAAGGCCAUCUCACGUUGAUUCAUAAUUUGCCAGAGGAGAUGGCUCAGUUGGAAGUUAUGUUCAGUUUCUUGAUCCUUAUGCUAAUUCUCUGUCCAUUUGUAAGACAGCUGGUGAUGUUCAGAAUAAUAAGGGAAGUGCCUUGCACCUGAAUGUCAAAUGAAAAAGUAGAGUUGAAGGUUGUGAUCUGUAUCCUUGCCAUGGUUGCUCCUUGCUGAUACAGGCUUUUAUAUUUGAAUGCUCGCUACUCUCGCACAUAUAUAGAUUUUUCAUUAUAGAUGCAAAUUUGGAGCCGCUUAAAUUUGCUUGCCUGUCGUUUUACUUAGCAAUCUGCAAGAAAAAGAAGGACACCAUAGAUUGCUUGGCAAUAAAGAUCGACAUAAAUUAGCAAUUUGUGUGUAGCCUUAGAAGUCUAUAUAUUUAUUAAAUUCUGAAUUACUUGUGCUCGCGUCCUUAAUGUGAUGGUUGCUUUGCCUUAUGAUCAAAUUCUCAAUUGGUAAUGGUGACUACAUUAGACUGUUUAAGCAACUAAGCAACUCAAGUCCCCUUGUGACUACAAGUCAUGAGUGGCCGCUGCACUAUUCUUGUAUGUUCUUCUAUUUUCAAUGGAAGCAUUCAAUCAUAUUUGUUUUUUUCUCUCACAUCAGUUUAUAUACCUCUCCAUGGAUCAUUCAGGUGUAAAAAUAUGGAUUUUCACUUUCGACCUGCAGUAUUUGACGGUCUCUGUGUGGAGGGUUUCAGAACUUUCUCUAGGCGCAGACCUGAAUACUAGCAGUACACGCUUGCAGCUAGCAAAAAAUGCAAGAUGCAGGGUCGUGUUUUCUUUUUCCAAUGCAUGGUAUCUGUUCAGGUGGAUGACUGCUAAUUUAUGUGGGAUAGGAAUGUCUUCAUAUUUGUGGUGGGUACAAGUAAUAUUAAAUUGAAAUUUGAGGCCCUCUUUUCAUUACAA